AGACGCGUACGGUACGUACCUCAUACAGGGGGAUAACAGUUGGAAACGGCUGCUAAUACCGCAUAAGCGCACAGUACCGCAUGGUACCGUGUGAAAAACUCCGGUGGUAUGAGAUGGACCCGCGUCUGAUUAGCUAGUUGGUGGGGUAACGGCCUACCAAGGCGACGAUCAGUAGCCGACCUGAGAGGGUGACCGGCCACAUUGGGACUGAGACACGGCCCAA
rnacentral:rRNA from 1 species